CAAUUUUGCCAACAGACUGUUGGUCGGGAAAACUUCUAUCUAACUGUUGGUCGGUAAUACUGAUGUAUUGUGUCCAACUGUCUGUCGGCAAUACUUGGAUGUUUCACGUUGGACAAUCGGUCGGGAAAGCUUAUAUCUUCAUCAGACUGUUGGUCGGGGAUUAAUGCCGACCGACUAUUCAUUGCCAAUUGGGCCGGCCCGUCUUUGCGCGCGCGGGCCAAAAACUUAGCGCCAAGCCUCCAUCCUAUUUUUUCAUUCGGCCUUCGACAAGUGCCACGACCAAUUCCAAAUCCCCCAAACCUAAAUCCUCUCACGCACUCCCUCCGCCGCCGCCCGCACGCCGCCGACCGCCCGCCGUCUCUAGCACGCCGUCACCUGUCUCCUUCAUCCUCCUGCACCCCCACUGCUUAGGCCCCGAACACUACUAACCAUUCGCUGCAGUUCGGGGAGAGGCCAAGGCGCGAUGGUGGACGCCGCCAUCCCUCUCAGAUCCAGGGCUGAGAGAGGGAGGGAGGGAGGGAGGGAGAGGUGGGUCACCUGCGAGAGAGAGCACUCGCGCCCCCUCUCAUCAGUCGUCACCCAGGGACCGCCACCACCGCGGCCAUGCCAUGGGCUUCCUCCCAUCUGCGCUCGCCGGUUCGUUCGAAGAAGGAUCUGGUCGUUGACUGCUGGUGAUUCCCCUCCCGCCGGUGCCAUGACUUGGAAUAGUACUUCUAUCCAGCAAGCAGCGUUUUGGAUGUGAGCUCGAGCUCAAGCAACAAGCAGAGCAUUAAAAACAGGGGCUCUAUCUGCUAAUGGGGUAGCCGGAAAUGCAGUCUAAGAGGUACAUCUCGUGUGAUUUCUGGAUAUGAGAACUUGAGAAGAACAAGCUUGAUGCUAUUACUGAAAAGAAAAAUCUAUGCUACAGGAUUCUUCUUUGCAUCCCAUACACUUAGACGGAGUGGGAGGCUGCCGCAGCGGUGCUGGACUCGGAGCCCAAGCCAUUCGACGCUGCCAACAGCUUGCACCUCUUCGCGAAAAUCACCACGAGUGUGAUGUGCUGACAGUCUGAUGCCUUCAGAAUUGGCUACUUUCAACCAAGAUUAGAGCUAGCGUACAGUUUGCAGUUUAUAGUCAUACGCAUACUCAAUGAGUCCCUACCUCGGCUUCUGGGCAAGAUAUUCUUUACUUUUAGGAAUUUUGAGUGGCGCACAUCCUGGUCUGGCGAGCGGCAAGCCGGACAUCAUUUGUCAAGGAAGCAAACAGAAGGACUACACUCACAGGGAACCAUGAAGCCAACGAUCCACGUCAACUAGAUGUUUUAGCUUUCAUUUUGUACAACUAAUGUCUCAUAGUUGCAUCUUUUGGCUGUCCUUUUGUAAACCUGAUGUAUGGUGUCUCAGUGGUUUUGUUUAGAACAGAUUGAAGUGUAUGUAUGUGCCAAUUAGUUAAUGAAAUAAAAAAAGUUUGGUGCUCC